GUUAGGUUGAGGCGGCUGUCGGGGUUUUCAGAGACCCGACACACCUAGGCCGGUUUCGGCCCAUUGUGAUACCGCAUGCUUUGUUCCCUUCUCCCUCGUGAGACCCUAUUUUAUCCAUUAUCCCAUCCGGAUGCCCUUACGAAGCCUGCGAUCCUUCUGGGACUAAUUGUAGACAUGUCCGAAAUGUCAUUUAGAAAGGGAGCGCCCAAGUAUUGGAGUCUCCUUCUACUGAGAGCCGGGCAGGAGCAGAACAGGUGUUCCACAGUCUCCUCCUCGUCCUCAUCUCUACAGCUUCGACAGAAGUCGUUAUAUGGGGCGCCCAGCCUGUUUGCAUGUGUGCCUAUUAGCCAGUGUCCCGUAAGGGAGCGUAUGACUGAGCUGCACCUACUCCUACUGAGUUUGCAGAGCUCAUCGGUGCGCUUCCUAUUAAUGUUACGCCAUGUUUGCCGAGUUAUGCGACAUAGUGGCACAGUUUGCCAUCUGUCAUUUAGUAGUUGUUUAAAAUGUUCUUUUAUUUUGAGCUUGCAGGUGGCCAUUGGCAUACUAAUAUCCUCCUUAUCAUUGAGAAGGGGGAUUGUUGUUCCAGCUCUGGCCAGCUCGUCUGCUAUACAGUUGCCUUCAAUGUCCUGGUGGCCCGGGACCCAUAUUAGGCUGAUGACGAACUGAUACGCCAUCUCAUGAAGAGAUUUGCGACAGUUUGCCACGGUAGCCGAGCUUGUUGUUAUCGCAUUCAGUGAUUUGAUUGCAGCUUGGCUAUCACUAUAGAUAUUUAUGUGAGUUGCCGCAGGGGUUAGUUCCUGAAGACAGCUCAAAGCUUCCUUGAUCGCUAUGA
rnacentral:lncRNA from 1 species